rnacentral:ncRNA from 1 species
CUGUUUGAUCCUUCUAGUAGUCAUAUGCUUGUCUCAAAUAUUAAGCCAUGCACGUGUAAGUAUGAACUAAUUUAGACUUUGAAACUGUAGAUGGAUUAUUAAAUCAGUGAUAGUUUCUUUGAUGGUACCCUACUACUCAAAUAACUGUAGUAAUUAUAGAGCUAAUACAUGCACUAAGUCUCAAAUCUUUGGAAGGGAUGAAUUUAUUAGAUAAAAGGUUGGGGCGGGCUUGCCCGCUUCUCCAGUGAAUCAUCAUAACUCGACGGAUCACACAUCCCUUGUGUUGGAAAUGCUUCAUUCAAAUUACUUCAUUAUCAAAUUUCGAUGGUAGGAUAGAGGCCUCCAUGGUGGUGAUGGGUGACGAAGAAUUAGGGUUCGAUUCUAGAGAGGGAGCCUGAGAAACAACUACCACAUCCAAGGAAGGCAGCAAGCGCGCAAAUUACCCAAUCCUAACAUGGGGAGGUAGUGACAAUAAAUAACAAUAUUGGGCUCAUCGAGUCUGGUAAUUGGAAUGAGUACAAUCUAAAUCCCUUAACGAGGAUCCAUUGGAGGGCAAGUCUGGUGCCAACAACCACAUUAAUUCCAUCUCCAAUAGCGUAUAUUUAAGUUGUUGCAGUUAAAAAUCUCGUAGUUGGAUCUUGGGUCGUAAAGGUUGGUAUGCCUACUCAGUGUGCAUCUUCCCUUCCAUCCCUUUUGUCGAUGGUGUGCUCUUGGCCUUAAUUGGCUGGGUCACGGUUUCGACGUUGUUACUUUGAAAAAAUUAGAGUGCUCAAAGAAAUCUUAUGCUUUGAAUACAUUAGCAUGGAAUAAAGCGAUAGGAGUAUGGUCCUAUUGUGUUGGCCUUCGGGACCAGAGUAAUGAUUAAUAGGGAUUGUUGAGGGCAUUUUUAUUUCAUUGUCAGAGGUGAAAUUAUUGGAUUUAUGAAAGACGAACCACUACGAAAUAUUUUACAAGGAUGUUUUCAUUAAUCAAGAAUGAAAUUUGGGGGUUCGAAGAUGAUCAGAUACCAUCCUAGUCUCAAUAAUAAAUGAUGUCAACUAGGGAUCGACGGAUGUUUCUCUAAGGACUCUGCCAACACCUUCUGAGAAAUCAGAGCGUUUGGGUUCCG